GGACGGGUGAGUAACGCGUGGGAACGUGCCCUUUGCUACGGAAUAGUCCCGGGAAACUGGGUUUAAUACCGUAUACGCCCUUUGGGGGAAAGAUUUAUCGGCAAAGGAUCGGCCCGCGUUGGAUUAGGUAGUUGGUGGGGUAAUGGCCUACCAAGCCGACGAUCCAUAGCUGGUUUGAGAGGAUGAUCAGCCACACUGGGACUGAGACACGGCCCAGACUCCUACGGGAGGCAGCAGUGGGGAAUCUUAGACAAUGGGGGCAACCCUGAUCUAGCCAUGCCGCGUGAGUGAUGAAGGCCUUAGGGUUGUAAAGCUCUUUCAGCUGGGAAGAUAAUGACGGUACCAGCAGAAGAAGCCCCGGCUAACUCCGUGCCAGCAGCCGCGGUAAUACGGAGGGGGCUAGCGUUGUUCGGAAUUACUGGGCGUAAAGCGCACGUAGGCGGAUCGGAAAGUUGGGGGUGAAAUCCCGGGGCUCAACCUCGGAACUGCCUCCAAAACUAUCGGUCUUGAGUUCGAGAGAGGUGAGUGGAAUUCCGAGUGUAGAGGUGAAAUUCGUAGAUAUUCGGAGGAACACCAGUGGCGAAGGCGGCUCACUGGCUC
rnacentral:rRNA from 1 species